rnacentral:rRNA from 1 species
UGCCAGACUCCUACGGGAGGCAGCAGUGGGGAAUAUUGCACAAUGGGGGGAACCCUGAUGCAGCGACGCCGCGUGGGUGAAGGAGAACCUCGGUGCGUAAAGCCCUAUCGGCAGGGAAGAAACAGACGGUACCUGACUAAGAAGCACCGGCUAAAUACGUGCCAGCAGCCGCGGUAAUACGUAUGGGGCAAGCGUUAUCCGGAUUUACUGGGCGUAAAGGGAGCGCAGGCGGCAUGGCAAGUCUGAUGUGAAAACCCGGGGCCCAACCCCGGGAGUGCAUUGGAAACUGCCAGGCUGGAGUGUCGGAGGGGUAAGCGGAAUUCCUAGUGUAGCGGUGAAAUGCGUAGAUAUUAGGAGGAACACCAGUGGCGAAGGCGGCUUACUGGACGACUACUGACGCUGAGGCUCGAAAGCGUGGGGAGCAAACAGGAUUAGAUACCCGAGUA